rnacentral:rRNA from 1 species
AGCGGUGGAAUGCUUUGACCCAUGUGAGAGAAACGAAAGCGAAGGCAUUUAUCUAGAGGGUUUCUGUCGAUCAAGGGCGAGAGUAGGAGUAUCCAACCGGAUUAGAGACCCGGGUAGUUCCUACUAUAAACGAUGCCGACAGGGGCUAGUUAUUUUAUAAUAGCUGGACCUUAGGAGAAAUCAUAGUUCUUGGGCUCUGGGGGAACUACGACCGCAAGGCUGAAACUUGAAGGAAUUGACGGAAGGGCACACCAGGGGUGGAGCCUGUGGCUUAAUUUGAAUCAACACGGGGAAACUUACCAGGACCAGAUGUUUUUUAUGACUGACAGGCUUCGGGUCUUUCAGGAUUGAGCUUUUGGUGGUGCAUGGCCGUUGGUGGUGCGUGGGUUGACCUGUCUAGCGUCGAUUCAGCUAACGAGCGAGAUUAUCGCCAAUUACUUAGAAUUAAUUAGUUUUAAUUAAUUCUUCUAAUUGGGACUCCCUGCGAUUAAGCAGGCGGAAGAGGGUAGCAAUAACAGGUCCGUGAUGUCCUUUAGAUGCUCUGGGCUGCACGCGUGCUACAAUGUUAGUCUCAAUGGGAUGUGAACCCGUCAGGGGGAACUACUCUAUGAAUGUCUAACGUAGUUGGGAUUGAUGAUUGUAAUCAUCAUCAUGAACCAGGAAUCCCUUGUAAAUGUGUGUCAUCAGCGCACGUUGAAUACGUCCCUGCCCUUUGUACACACC